AUAUUGAAGUUUGCUUUCAAAUUAUUCUGCUUAUUCACCCUUCUUCAAUUAAAUAACAGCUAGAAAAGGAAAUCAGGUUUUUUCUUUCAAUUUAAACUACAGAGGUUCCAACAGUUGGUCAACUCCACCAAUACACAUGAUCUAUAGAGAUAACCUUUAGAUCCUAAUUACUUUUAACUAAAUACCUCAAAACCUAGCAUCAAAUCAGACGUAUAGAGAAAUAACUAGAAAAAGCUAACUAUAAGAAUACAAGUUAAGCUUAUUCACAAGUUAAACAACCAACAGAAGAACUAUAAACUGCCACUGUUAAUGUUGAUCCUUGUUAGGUCGAGCCCUUGCCUUAUAGCCCAUAUCUCAAUUACAAAACAAUAAGCUAGCUAAUCGAAUAGUUAAAACAACGAAACCAAUUAAAUCGGGCGAUAGAAGAAGAACAAAUAGACAACAUAAUAUGACAAAGUGCUCCUAUAUUGCCUUUCAUUCCCAUUUCUUAAACUCACAACCAAGAGGUUUACAGAAUCAUGUACCUAGGAAUUGAAAUGAAAUAAGAAAAUGAAGAGGUCAGCAGCUGAAGACAUACGAACAGCAAUUGAAAUUUAGAGAAUCGAGUCAAUUUCUAACUCAAAAAUACCACAGCCACCCAGCAAUGAACAGAAGAAGAAAGCACCAGUAAAAUAGCCAAAUUCCAGCUUGAUACUACCAAAAACCCACUAGAAAAUCACCCUGGACUUCCCAGAAGCAAUCAGCCCUCAAAACUUAAACGAGAAGAUGCAUUGCCAUUUUCAAAAAGUCGAAAUUAGACUACUAACUCAACGGAACAGUACUAUUUUUGUGUUUUCUCUGUAGCCUUUGUAUAUUUUUUUUAUAUUUUUUCUGAAGAUCUAGAAUCUAAGAGGAUGUUAGGAUUUUGAAUUUUUUAAUUUUAGCUCAGAUCGGUAAUUGGAGAGGAACUAUUUUGGGGUGUGGGGNNNNNNNNNNNNNNNNNNNNNNNNNNNNNNNNNNNNNNNNNNNNNNNNNNNNNNNNNNNNNNNNNNNNNNNNNNNNNNNNNNNNNNNNNNNNNNNNNNNNNNNNNNNNNNNNNNNNNNNNNNNNNNNNNNNNNNNNNNNNNNNNNNNNNNNNNNNNNNNNNNNNNNNNNNNNNNNNNNNNNNNNNNNNNNNNNNNNNNNNNNNNNNNNNNNNNNNNNNNNNNNNNNNNNNNNNNNNNNNNGGGGGGGGAAGGAAAUUUAGAGCUGCAAACUUGUCAAAUGAAUGUAAGGGAAUACCAUUUUAUAGGCAUAAUAAGGUGAUUUUAGUUUUUUUUAUAUUUUAGUCCCUAAAAUUGUGACUUGUUAUUUUCAAGUAAGUACACCCAUUUCUGAAUAUCCAACUUAAAACCCCAUUCUAGAAUGUUUUAGUGAAUUCUAUUUCAUAUUUUAAAAGAGCCUCUACUCUUGAAUUACCCCCUUUACCCUUGAGCUUAAACUCAAAAUUACUGCUAUGACCAAACUACUUCCUAAGCUAUGAACUGAGCUUCAACUGAAAAAGUAAUCCUAAUUCACUAUUGUCUAAUUACCAACUAAAUAGAAAGAAAAAUCAGAAUCAAAGGACCAACAUUUAAACUCUACUAAACUAACUAAUAGCAGAUGAAAAAUCCAAAGAACAGAGCAUGAUUAUUAAAAGAGAACUUCUAACAAAACUAACACAACAAGCUAAUCGCCAACAAAACCACAAAAGAGCAAACAUUAAACUGAGAUAAAACCUAAAAUAUAAUAGCAUCAGAACAGUAAUCAAAACAAAAAAAUCUAACAUUGAUAAAGCUAACUAUUCUGUUAAUCCCGACACUAAUUAAACAAACAGUUUCCAAACACUAAUACUAACGCCACAAGCUAAGGAUUAACCAAAAUUAAAAGAGAAUUAUACCUAUCAGAACAGAAUUAUACUAUAAAAUCCACAAUCAUGAAGACAGAAAUAAAGAAGGGAAUUAAACAAGAAGAAUAGAAAACUAAACCAAGAAGCACAAAAAAGAAAUAAAGAACUCGCCUAUCAGACUCCCAAAAACUGGCUAACUUUAAAGUUUGACUCUGGCCAUCUCUGGUGGGAAUUGAGUGUUAUAGCAUUGAAUUUCUCACGAGGGAAUCCCAGGGACCAUGUGGUAUUAAUUUGAAUUAGUUUGGGGUAAUUAAGGUUUUGGCUGGAAAACUUCAAAUCGAUAUUCGAGAAGUUUCGACCAAAUUAGAAGGUCAGGGGCCUUGGGGUUUCGAUAGAGGGACAGGGAGAGGAACCUAUGGUGUUAUUCUGGGUGGUUAGGAAAACCUUGAGUCAUAGCUGAAAAAACUUUAAUCAAAGAUUCGACGGGUUCUAGGCUUGUUCGAAGGAAACCAUUUAUAGAUUUGGAGAGAGGGGAACAGGGGGUGUUAAUUUUGGGGCGGUUUGGCGACGACGCUGCCAUUACCGGCGGUAGGGUAUUUAGGGCGACAGAUUACGAUUCAUGUGGGUGAGGUCUCAUAGAAGGAAUGAUGGAGAAGAGAUGGGGUUAAUGGGGGGCCUUCGGACACUUUUAUAUUAAGUGUACCCCAAUUGAGAGUCGUUUAUCACCUCAAACCUAGACGGCUAGGAUUAAAACUAAGGCACGACGUCGUCUAAGGCGAGGGUGUGGAACAGGCCGGGUAAUGGGAACGGGUUUGGGUUGGACGAGGUCAUUUUUGGGCUGGGUAAUUCAAAAAAGAUGGCCCAAUUAAGGUGCUUUAUUAGGAAACCCCUUUUAAUUAAUUGCUUUUUGUUUUCUCUUUUGAUUUCUUUUAUUUAUUUUAUUUUCAUUCUAUUUUUUGUAUUUUUUUACUUUAUAAAAAUGCCAAAAAAAUUCAAAUAAAUACCUAAUAUAUUUUCAAAGUUAAACUAAUUAAUUCCUAAAAUUAUUUAAAAUCUUUUUCAUGACAAAUUCAAUAAUUAACAAUUAAAAAGGAAAAAGUGUACUCCUAAAUGCAAAUGUCAAUCGUAUUUUUUAUAUUUUUUAUACGAAUUAAAAUGAACAAAUAAAAUUCAAACAAUUAACAGAAAAUGACACAAAAUUCACAAAAUUGUAAAAUAAUGAAAAAAUUAUUUUGUUUGAAUUUUUGGGAAUAAUUCACUUAGGACAAAAAUCACGUGCUCACAAGCUUGAAGUGCAGUUUAGUGUUAUCGAUGUCCGUUUGGGAUUCUGAGACUGGCUCUGUAUGGUGAAUGGAGUUGGGAGCGCGAUCAGAAGUGAAUUCAGAGGUCCGCAGGUCAUUUUAAAGCCAUUUGGCUAAAGAUAGAAAUUUGAAAGUUUUUGAGAAGUUUGACGGAAGUAGAAUUUUUGAUGUAGCGAUCAGAAUCUGAUUCCAGAAGUUGGAGUAGGUCUGUAAUGCCAAAUAUGACUGGAGUGAAAAUUUUGAUAUCAAUUGUACAUGAUUGGAUAGGUUUAAACAUCGGAAGUAGAAGUUGAAAAGUUCAAAGUUCAUAAAGCUUGGAUUGGAGGUCGAUUGAUGAUUUUGGCAUUGUUUCGUGUGAUGUGAGGCCUCGAGGAAGUCCGUAAUGUGUUUUGGGAUUGGUGGUAUGAUUGGUUGAGGUCCCGGGGGCCUCGGGUGGAUUCCGGGUGGUCAACGAAUCGAAAAUGGAAUUUUGGAGAAGGCUGAAGGAACUGGUUGCUAGUGUUUUUGCUUCUGCGGAAAUGGGACCACAGAAGCGGCCCCACAAAAGCAGUUGAGGGAGCCGCAAAAGCGGUUUUUUUUGAAGGAUUUUACACCGCAUAUGCGGUUAAGGUUCCAUAGAAGCGCGACCACAUCUACGGAAGAGGGUAUUGCAGAAGCGGAAAAAGGGGGCUGAGUCCAACACCGUAGAAGCGGCUUUUGACCGCAAAAGAGGAACCGUUUAUGCGGAAAUAGUUCCGCAGAAGCAGAAAUAGCUGGAGCAGAAGCAUUGUUUGAAAAGUCAGAUUUUGGUCAUUUCUCUCAGAUUUUUCAUGGAUUGGGCGAUUCUUGAAAGGGUUUAAGAGAGGAUUGAUCAAGCCCAACUAUGCCUUAUAAAAAGGUCAAUACGGUCAUUGCAAUUAUAAUCAUGUUUACAAGUCCGGAGUGAAUCCCACAGAGAACUAAGGUUUAGCUACAUCUGUUCACUAUCACCAAAAAGACAAGCUUGAAUAAUUUCUAACUUAUAGAUAUUUAGAUUCUUGUGUUUAACUAAUUAGCUAACAAAUUAAAAUACUAAAUUAACAACUAAAUAUACAAAGGGUUAGAUACAAGAUUAAGGAGGUCUAGAGUUAUGAUUUCCUCAAUUGUCGGAAUCCUUCCCGCUAUGUCUUCUAUAAUUUCGCCUAAGUAUUCUCUACCGAUCAUAAGAAAUCUUAUUACCAUAAAUCUCUCUCGAGUAAUCCCGACAAUUUACUAUUAAUUAUUCUCUACCGAUCAUAAGUACUCUUAUUAUCGUAAAUCUCUCCUGAGUAAUUAUGAUAAUUUACUAGAUGCACUCUCCCGAGCUACGCUAGUUGGGUUUUAAUACAGCACGCUUCAGAACACACCCAAGGCUUCAUUAUCCCUAAUCCCACCUUUAAACCCACGGUUAUUGAUCCCUCAUAUACUCUGGGAGUGGUGUUGCUUAACAAUUACCUGAAUAUACACUCUCUCCCGAGUUAUGCAUACUAAAUAUUCACAGCUAAUUGAGAGCUCUUCAAUCAACCAGAAUAUAAACGUAGUUGAACAAAUAGACAAAAGCUAUGGCUUAUAUAUAGAAAAUAACAAUAAUUUAUCCUACAAAAGGUUCUAUCAAAACUAUAGAUAACAAAUUAGUUAUUCAUAAUAGUAUGUAAAACUACAAUAUUAAAAGUCAUAACCAACAAUGAAAAAUAUGAAGAGGAAGGAAAUACUCAUGGAAGAAUUCUCCGCCUUGCUCCCAAUGCGUUCUUGCGUCCUUAGGUCGAAUCUAUGUCUCAAAUCAGUCCUCUCUCCUUUCUUGGCCAGCUUCCUUGGUUUAAUUUAUGGUUUAGGGCUUGAAAUCUCAUGUUUUGCAAUAAGUCCCUGAACUUUUCUCCUCUUUCCGCAGUUCUGUCAUGGUUACGCCAGAACCGCGGUCAAAGACCCUCUCUGAUUCUUUAGUUGCCCGCGACUGCCCUCUGUCGCAGUUCUGCUAUGGUUACACCAACACUUCGGGUUCAAAUUGGACCCAUUCAAAAAUGAAAGUUUUAGCCCAUUAGCUUUCCAACCAUAUAUUAUGGAGCCUAAAUGGAGUUCUCAACAAAAAGUUAUGUCUAUUUAACUAGACAGUUCGCAAUAUGUCUCGUCGAGUCUUUGUUUUGUUAUUUUAUCAUCCGUUGAUCCCCGAGUACGAUCCCGGCUUAAUUCCUUGGUCUUUUACUCAGAAUUCAAAGCUCCAAAUUACUUGAAUUCUUUCUAUAACAUCUAUAUAGCUCGAAAUCACUUUACAAGGCAUAAAACACGCUGUUAGUGCAAAACACUAGCGAUUAAAGCGCAAACUCAACUAAAGUGAAAUAAAGUAUAGUGUAAUAAUCGACUAAAAUACGUAAUUAUAUCCUAUCAUCAAAACCCCACACUUAAACUAUUACUCGUCCUCGAGCAAUCAAACUACACUUUUUUUUGUAAACACGACAUUUUUAAAUAAUUCUCCUAACUUAUCAUACCAAGAGUAUUUAAAAUAGACUAAGCACAAAAGUGUAACAUCUUCACCUCAAGAUUUGAUUCAUAAGUACCAUGCAUUAUUCACAAUUCACCAUCUUACUCUAACAUAGAGGUCACUGACAUUACAUUUCCUUCAUGAAUCAAGUGCUCUCACACAACAAAAGAGAGCAAUUCCACACAAUAAAAAUUAAGAACACUUAGGAACUGAAGAUACAAAGAAUUUGCUAAAUCUCAGAAAUAACAUUCACAUGCCACAAAAGAUACACCAUAACUUGCCCGUAGUGUACUACUCCACUAAUCGAGCUCAUUCAAUCUUGUAUCAAUUAGGACUUUAUUCGGUUGUAAUAUAGGCUACGGGACGGGUAGGAUACAUUUAGAUAUAAGAGUGACUACACCUCCCUAAGCACUUUAAUACAUACAUUUUAACAUUCAAACUCCAUAUUUAUGUCAAGCCAAACUCCAUCAAAACACUAAUACUAACGCCACAAGCUAAGGAUUAACCAAAAUUAAAAGAGAAUUAUACCUAUCAGAACAGAAUUAUACUAUAAAAUCCACAAUCAUGAAGACAGAAAUAAAGAAGGGAAUUAAACAAGAAGAAUAGAAAACUAAACCAAGAAGCACAAAAAAGAAAUAAAGAACUCGCCUAUCAGACUCCCAAAAACUGGCUAACUUUAAAGUUUGACUCUGGCCAUCUCUGGUGGGAAUUGAGUGUUAUAGCAUUGAAUUUCUCACGAG
rnacentral:lncRNA from 1 species